rfam:Listeria floridensis FSL S10-1187 c4, whole genome shotgun sequence.
ACAAGAAAGAAGAAGCAACCCGCUUCUCGCCUCGUUAACAAUUGUUUUCAGGCAAAAAGUUCAAUGAUUCGUCACACCGGUCUGGCUGUGACUUUGAAUGUGCGGGUUUGCUUUUAUAGCAAACCCGUUUUUAUAUUGUCCG